rnacentral:sRNA from 1 species
AGAGUCCUAGGUUCCUACUGUUGUGAUGAGAGAUUGGUCUCGUCUACAGUGCCUUUCUGUAUGUGAGCCAAAUAAUGAGAGAUGCUGACAAACAUUAUAUAAAACCAAUUACAAAAUGUGAAAGUAGCACACAGACGGAUACACACAUACUGCCACCAACGAUUGUGAGAUCAUAUGAGUGGAAUGAAUGGGAAUUAAGAAGAAAAGCUAUAAAAUUGGCUAAUUUGCGCCAGAAAGUUACUCACUCAGUACAAACUGAUCUUAGUCACUUGAGAAGAGAAAAUUGUUCCCAAGUGUACCCUCCAAAGGACACUAGCACCCAGUCCACGAGGGAAGACAGCACUGGGGUGCCCAGGCCUCAGAUUUACUUGGCUGGUCUUCGUGGAGGAAAGAGCGAAAUCACCGAUGAGGUCAAGGUGAACUUAACUAGAGAUGUGGAUGAAACCUAAUUACAGACAACGUUUUAAAAUAGAUGCUACUCAAUUAUGAACAAUAGCAAGUACUUCAAGACAAUGUCACUUUAUUAUUCAAGUUAUACUGCUUGGCAGUGAUGACCCUGAUGGCUGCAGUCUAUACCAUAGCU